rnacentral:lncRNA from 1 species
ACGACCUGCAGAUCCCAACACUCCAGGAUGGUGCAGGACAUCAGUCUCAAGGCAUCUUCCUUCAUGUUCUCUGGGGGAGAGACUGACUGUGGGAAUCAGCCUUGGUUGCAAAGGGAAGCUGAGAGAAGAGAGCAGCGCAGGGCACGGACAUGCCAGCCCAGUUACUGGAGAUAUCUGCCGCUGGAGACGGGUUCAGAGCCUAGUUUAAUAUCCCGAAGCAGGAAAGCUGAGAAUGUGCUGGAAAUGCUUGUUGAGGCCGACGUGUCAGGCAGCCCAUCAGUGCAGGAUGGAGCCUCGGUUGCAGAGAACUGCAGGGAGGUGGUGUGGAAGCUCAUUGGCUGUAAGAACUGCUCCGCUGCGACAGUGCUGCUGGAGGUGGUGGUGAACAGAUUUCUGAUGCCAAGCUGAUCAUCGUCUCAGCACCAGCAAAGACAUGCUAUUCCCGUCCCUGACGAGCAUUUCCUUCUUGAGAAAGUGAUUUUGAGGGGCUGCAGAUGUACUUGGAGGAAGGUUUGGGCCGGGACAGAUGACGUGCCCAUGUGGGAGCUGGACGGCCCCUCUCUGGGUAGCUCCCUGGGAACUCCCAUGUCCGCCUCCCGCUGCCUCCUGAUCCAAGGUGGAUGCACUUCAUUUGAGGCCUGGUCUUUCGUCCUUCCCUCUCCUCUUCGGGGACCACUUUGUCUAGUGCUAGACUCAUUGUGCUUCCCCCUUGGGGCUUCCUUCAGCCCUCAGCCGAUUCAAGACUUCAAAAGGAAGUUGGACAUGGAGAGGAAAAAAGAAAUGAAACCAGGAAGGAACCGCCAAGAAGCACACAACGCGUUUAUGCUGCCUUAACCACACGCUUGACUCUAAAUGGGUUUAAAAAUUCUUACUUGUGUUAGCCCAAGAAAGUUUCUGCAGCCGUCUUUUUGGUUUAAACAAUCAAAUACUCAAUAAUUCUGGGGCUGGUGGGCCAGGAUAUGGGUUACUCAGAUCUUCUGCUUCACCCCAUGCUCGGUCCCUGAGCCAGUUCUGUCAUUGGUUCUUUCAGACCAGGGCAGGAAAAGUCAAGAAAGCAAAAGCGGAUUCUAGGCUGUGGGGUUUGCUGUUUGCUAGCCCCCUGGCAGAGAUGCCUGUCCUUGCAGUCCUGAACUGGUGGCCAAGUGUGCAUGCAUGCACGUGCAGGUGUGUGCAUGUGCAGGUGUGCAUGCGUGUAUGUGCGCACACACAUUCAUGCUUGUACAUGUUUGUGUACACGCACACUUUUUUCUGCUUUCAAUUUCAAGCUGUUGCCUCCCUGAUGUGUCUGUUUAGUGACUUGAGCCAGAAAGAUUCCCGGUUCUAUGUGGGAUGAGAAUGAACGCAGGCAGGUCUCCACAGAAGUGAGUAAAGUAGAGCUGAGAAGAAGGACAUUGUCUCAUGCCAGCCUGUCCAAUAGCCACUUUGCCCCAGCCCUGCCUCAAGCCCCAGAGAGAUGACAAGGCUCUCUCUGUUUGUCGACUCCUUGAAGCUCAGAAAGGUAGCCCAUACUCUCACCCAGCCGGUGCCCUUCAGCCUGGAACCUUUGGAUGGAGGAUUGGACCUUGUGACCUUCAAGUUCCCUUCCGAACCAAAUAUGCUCUAACCCAGGUAUGCUGUUAUUUUCUUAUAUAAUGGGAGCAAGGAGGCACUGGGAUGCCCAAGGCGUCUAGGGUCUCACCAUGACACCCCUGGUCUCCUGCCCUAGUGGUCUGGCUGGGUCCUGCACAGAGCCCUCUCUUGUAAUCAGCCAGAUCUCCAAGAGCCACGGCUCCACACAGACCUACCCAUAGAUGGACGGCAGGGUGUGCCCUGCACACAUUCAUCCCUGCCCCGCUCAGCUUCCUGCCCCUCUGCCUUCGUUCAGCCUUGGUCCCCAGGAGAAGCAGACUCUUGGAGGCAAUUCCAACAGGCUGCAAUUCCCAGUCCAGCUCCGGCCCUUACUUCCUGCACGUCUCAGCCUGGCCUCCUCAUCUGUAAAGCAGGGGUGAAUACUACCUCUUUGGAUGCAGUGGAGUGUGGUGGGUCAUGGUGGAUCAGAGCAUGGGCUUGGAGCUAGACCACAUGCCACUCGCCAGCAAUGUGUGUCGCACAUUUGAAAACUUCACAUUUUCCUGCUGCCUCCACAUCCCCAGACACAGGUGGUGUGCACCUGCCUGGGUGACCCAGUGCACUAUUGUCACGGGGCCGGCCGUGCCACAAGUUCCCCUGACUGUGACCUAGUAACGUUCAAAUGCACUGGUGGAAUUCCCUCGUGUCUGUUUUUGGUGUGCUUCACUCUGAUCCCCAAUAAAAAAGCCUCACCCGCUCUCUGCCCCCCACCUGCUUGGUGGAGCCUGGGCCCUGGGUGCUCCUCCCAUGCGACCCCUCCCAGCGGAGUGUGCAGUGACUCUGUGGGGCCUGUGAGUCUGGGAACACCUGUUGCCCUGCGCCUCUCCUGUGCCUCCUCUUGCGGCUGCCCCCGAUUGACCAUUACCUAAAAUAAUCACACACACAGUGUGGUUCUGGACAAAUCACUUCCCUGCCCCUGCCCUCUGUUUCCUCCCCUGUCAAUGCACAUAGUAAGAAUAAGCUGCUCUUUGGGGCACAGAGAGGACAGAGUUGAUGUGUGAGUGUUGAGAAUGGUGCUUGGCAGAGAGUUCAGAUUAUUGGGACUUUGCAGGUUGCUAUAGUAAGGACAGAGGUAGGUGGCUCUCGGUGAACAGUGGCCAUUUGUGUUCUAAUCAGGCCCCAGGAGGAAUGCAGGGGGCUGUUUCCCUGUGCUGCAGGGACUACUGGCCUUUAAGGGCUCCUCAGAACCAAGGGUCUGGGUCAGAAGAAAGGUUCCAGGUGAGGGCUUCUGCCUUCCCUCUUGUGCUGUCCAGAGGUGAGUCCUGUCCUCCCUCAACAAGAUGACCUGGUGGAAGGAAGGAGGCAGCGGAGACCACGCGGCUUGGCUGCCUGCCUGUGGGCAGACCUGCAGGUGUGAGGGGCGGAAGCUUGGCCUGAAGCCUGAGGCCAAGCUGAAGGCCAAGCCUGCUGGGGGGCACAGAGCCAGACAGGACACAGUGGGCUCGCCAACACUGCAGAGGAAAGGGGUUCUCUCUCUGGGCCCAACAGCACUGGUCCCGCAAGCCUCAGGCCCCCUAAGGGCUGGUCGGUGCUGCACAGAGAGAGUGUCUCCACCCCAGGCCAUGGUACGUGCCCGGUUCACUGUCCCACCACGUGCCUCCAUCCAGCUACGUUGGUCAGGUCUAGGAUGUGCCACUCGGCUCUCGGGGACCUCAGCUGAGCGACCGCAUUGCCCAGGAUGCUGGAAAUCCUCACGAUAGGCCCCAGGCCGGAGGGCUGGGUGGGGGUAUGGCUGGCCCCCUGGCACACCAGUCCCCAGUGCUGGAAAAGAGCUCAAAGCCCAUGCCCUGGGGCCUUCACCCUGCAGGCCUAUCACAUCCACUCUCCCAGCGCCCUGGCUGUAGGCUCUCCCUCUCUUCCAAACGGGAGGGCCGUCCUGCAGGCCCGUACACAGGCGCUUCAUAUCCACAGCUGGAAACUAGGUCGCUGCUGGUGAGAGGCAGCAGGGGACGGUCCACAGGCUUUCGCAGCACCCUUCCUCUGCCACUGGUUCCCUGGGUCACUGUGCAAAAGCAGAGGCUGCAAAGUCUGUGGUGGAACCCGGGAAGCCGGAGAAGGAACACGGGGGCCUUUGAGGCUUCUUCCCGCUGCCCGAUUCCUUUCAGGCUCGGCCUGAUUUCUCUUUGAGACUUGGGCUGGUUCUGCCCCUCACACUUCCUUGCUGGUCUGGACAUUUUUCAGCCUCAUCUGUCCUCUUCUUCUCUUCCCACACACUAGGCUUUGACCCUUGGGAGGGGCUGUGGGGUGAAGAGAGGCCCCAGGCAGCAGGGAGCUUGCCUCUGCCAAGAGGGCAUGGAAGUUAGGGAGUUGGGGUCUGCCUGAGUCCUGAGCUGGGCUCCAGGCCUCUGGUCCUGCACAUUCCACCCCAGCCUCCCCUCCUGACACUCUGGGCAGCUGCGGAUCUUCCCAGCUUCCCAGGAAGAAGGCUGUCAAGGAGGCUCUGGUGCCUGUAACACCAGCCAUGCACCAGGCGAUCUCCAAACAUUCAGAUCAGUGGGAUCUGAUCAGGCCUCUAGAUCUAACCACCAGGUGGGCAUGUUAGACAACAUCAUGGGGGUGUCAUCAGAAAAUCCAGACUGGGAGAAACGUGACAGGACAAAUGACGUGGUUCUUCAGCACAUACAUUGCAAGAGGAGAAAAAAGGAGAGAGAGAGAUUGAUGGUGGAACUUAGAGGCUACAGGAGACUUAGGAGACCAAUUAACUGAUUUUAACACAUGGAUGUAAUUUAGAUUCCGACCCCAAAAACUUUUUUAAAAAGAACAGUUUAUGGGUCAGUUGGGGAGAGCUGAAACUGCCUGGUUAUUUCGUGAUAUUAAGGAAUCAACUGUUAAUAGUUUUUAGGUAUGAUAAUGGUAAUGUUACUAUGUUUUCUAAAAGAGGAUCCUUAAGUUUUAGAGGUACAUACUGAAAUAUUUGUUUUUUAAAUGUUUUAAAAAGUUUAUUGCUCUUUCAGAAAUAUGCUGACAUAUUGACAGAUGAUUUGAUAUCUGGGAUUGCUUCAAAACCAUCCUGGGGUGGGGAGAGGGAGGGAUGGAGGGGAGGGUGCAGGCCAGCGAAUGGAGAUGGACUAUGAAGUGGUAACUGUUGAGCCCUGGGUGAUGGGAAGAUGGAGGUUCAUUAAAGCACUUUUUAAAAUUUUUGCAUAUCUUUGAAAAUUGCCAUGAUAAAAUCUGGAAGGAGCAGGAAGAGAAACAGGAAGAGAAAGGAUGAAAGAGAGGGAGAGGAGGACGAGGGGAAAAAAGAGGAGGAGGAGGAGGAGGAGGAAGAGAAGGCAGAGGAAAAGGGAGAAGGAGGAGAGGAAGGAGAAGGGAAGGGAGAAGGGGAAGGAGAGGAGGGAGAAGAAGGAAGGGGCAGAGGAGGAGGAGAGGGAGGAGGAGAGACAGAUGAGAGGGAGCUACUACUGCAGCUGCCGAGGCUGGCCUCCUGGCCUGUGUCCUAAGAUCCUGGAGAACACCAGGCUGGCGAGCAGCCACCCCCUCUCUGGCUGCCCCAUGGCCUCAGCCGCUUCCCACUCCAGGACUGGAGCCCUUCUUCCUUGCUGGGGACCUCACUGGGAAAUAGGGUGGUAGUGCAGGGUCCCCCUCCCUGCAGAGCAUGGAGAGGCAGCCCUUCUGCUCCUAGGAGAUGGUGCUGUUGCCCAGGAAGCCGGUCACCAUGACGAGAGUACCCGCUCAGAUGAGGAUGCAGGCGGAGGCGGUGAAGGUGCUGGAGGCCAGGAUGCUGAGGUAGCUGCUCCUCUCCACCAGGGUCCAGAUGCCCAUGGCCAGGACAGCUGCCCCCCUGACCUGCAGGAGACCACCAGGUUGGAGCAGGGGGUGGCGGGGGCCUCAGGAGCUGCCAUUCCUUGAGUGCCCGCUGGGUACCAGGCACUUCUCGUGCAUUGUCUUAUUCAAUUUAGGCCUCCUAAGAGCCUGUGAGAACAGUGUGGUGGCCUAGCUUUACAGAUGAGGAAACGGAGGCUGAGAGAGGUUUGCAGGCUUGUCCAAGGUCACACAUGUAAGCGAGCUGCAGAUUUUGAAUCUGGGUCUGACUUCUGAUUCUGUGCAUCUUACUAUGGUUCCUACUGCAUAUGAGGCGGGGAGAAAUGACUUCAGUUUUGGGGAUGACUAAUAUACCUGAGUCCCUUCGCCUCCCCUCCCCUCAGAGCGCUCCCUCCCUCUGUCCACGUUUCCCUGAUGGAUGUGGAGGUGCCAUUUUGAGCACCUCCCCUUGUUCAAUCCUUAUAUUUGCCCAUUGGGGAAGCACGGCUGGGCCCCUUAUCCCUCCCUGUUCUACAGAGGAAGGAACUGAGGCCCAUGGAGGAGAGGUAAAUGGCCCGAGUUAGGGGCAGGGCCAGGACCAGGACUCAGAGCCCAGGGCCUGCUUGCUCAGUCUCGCUGCCUCCAUGAUGGAAGGGCCACUGUGCUGGACAAGUUGGAGCUCCCUGGGACCACAGGAGGAGGGAGGAGAGCCUUCUUUGCUGUCUGACUCCCUUUCAGUCCUGAGAGGGGGCAGGGACGGGACACUGCUGAUUUGCAGGUCUGGGGGAUGCCUUCUUGGAAAUAGAGUACCUGGGAAAUGUAGCUGGGGUGGUGGGGCUUGACUGUUCUUUCCUGCCAUGAAGCUGAGGAGCCUUUUAGUGACUGUUAUCCUCAGCAGAGCAUAGUGGGUGGGUGCAAGUGUCCUCAAGGUGCCAGAUGGGGGCUGUUUGGAGUGUUUUCCCAGGAUUUGGGUCCUCUGGGACCUCUGACCAUCUCUGUCAUUUGCUCCUGGGAAGGUGGACUUCUGUCUCCCAGUCUCUCUGCCCGCCAUUUAGGGACGGGUCCAUUUCCUCUGAUGGUCAGUAGAUGCUUCCUCAAGGGGUCUUGGGUGUAGCCAAAGCUAGAGAAGCCCUCCCGGGCUCUGUUCACAUCCCCUGAUGCUUUUCCCUGCAAGUUGUCUCCCGUCUGCCCCAGGAAGACUCUCUGUAUAACCUAACCUGUCACUUCCCAGUUCUCUGUUCCGGGGAGUCGCAGACCUUGGCUGAGUAAAUGGAAGGUGGUUCUUAGCAAUGAACAGGCACCUACAUUACUCAACUCGCAAGUAUUUUACCAUUUUGCCAUUUUCUCUUCUGAGCUUUGCAACAGCUCUGUGAGGAUGGGGCCGGGCAGGAGGGGCCAGGCUAUCCCUGUCUUGCAGAUAAGAAAAUUGAGGCUUGGAGAGAAUAAGAAUGUGCCCAAGAUGACACCAUCAGAGGGUCAGAAUUGAGGUGCAAACCCAGUUAUUUGAGGGCAAAUCCAGGCCUCUGUCCUUGGAUCCCCCAGAGUAGGCUGGGCCUGCUUCUCUCUUACUUCUACGUUUUUAAUAGACAUGAUUUCUUCAAAGUGCCAUUUUAUCUCCAUAGGUACCUCCAGACACCACCCAGGCUGCAGCAAAUGGAAUGGGAGAGGCUAACACACCAUAAUUUUUCAAUUCCAUGAUGCCCAUUUUUUCUCACAUUUUAACGUCUCUAAAAUUGGGGCACAUCUUAUGAUUGAUGGCAUCUUACAAUUACACUUGGCAGUACUUUUUCUUGGUGAUACAAAAAAACAACAGUGUAUCUUACAACUGAUAGCUUAGAUUCAGUGAAAUCCUAGAAUACAACAGGUUUGAAAAUUCUCUGUGGGUGAGUGUUAUCUGUGGCCCAUACAACCUCCAUGACCAGUGAGGGAUUUCCUGAGUCUGGGUUCCAGCAAAAUAUCCUGGACAGAAUUCUUUUUGACCCUCUACAGCAUGCCUGGAAGGCUUGGGCACGGGUCCCAACUGUGUAUAACUAGCUCCGUGACCUAAAGAGAGUCCCUGAACCUCUCCAGACCUCAGUUUCUUCACCUCUCGAAGAAGGGAGUGAGUUAUAUUAGACCAGUAGUUCCCAGCCUGUAACUACCAAGGACCGUUUGAUUAUUUUUUCCCAUGGGUUUUAUGUUUUGAGGGCUUUUGCCUAUCAACGUGCAUUAAUUAAGUAAUAAUUCACUUCUCAUUUUUUAUUAAUCAAAGGCACAUAUAGUGCCAGGAAGAGAUUCUGAACAGCAUGAGACAGUCAACUUGACCACACUGAGUUGAUCUAACUCCAGCAAAAGGCCAAGAAUCUUGGCUUUUCAUGAGAAUAGCCUCUUUAUAGAAAUAUGCACAUUAUCUGUGAUCUGUUAGGCUUCUUAAGCCUGUCCCUCAAACCAGAGUGGGGGCUGAGCAUAUGGCUCUGGGGCCACCAAAAGACAUAUGUUUGGACUGGUCUGGGGACCAUCUGUUGGGAGACACAGAACCUCACUGAAAGCCUGAUGAAAAGCUUUGCAUCCUUUGCCCAGAGAAAUGGUCAUUCACACAAAACAAUACCCUUGGGGCCAGGGGCUGAAGUCUAUUUUGCACUACCUAAUGACCUGUGGCCUUUAUGGUCUGUAGGCCUCCUGCACCCCUAUGGUGCCCUAAGACCUGGCUGUACAAUCACCUGGGGAGCUUUGAAAAACCCAGGCCCCCCUGCAGGCCCAUCCGUGUCUGUGGGAGUGGGACCCAGCCAUGAAUUUUUUAUGAAGUUCCUGGGUGAUCCCAGCUGAGAACCAUUGCCCAGAAUUAACGAAUGGGGUCCAGGUGUCCUGCCCUCCUCUUCCCAGUUGGUGACGCUGUGCUGAGCCUCGCAGAACACAGCGGCUUCCCGGUCGCUCAGUCCCAGGAGGGGCCCCUUGAAGCUCCAGGUUCCCUCCCCUGGGAGGAGUUGCCUGGAGGGCUACUGAGAUUUGUUCAGGACCUGAACCCCAUCCUUUCCUUCCGUGUGUUUGUUAGGGUGUUUGCUUUGGCAGAAGCUUUAAGGUAGAAAGUGGGGUAAUCCUGAGGAACAGAAUUUUCAUCUAAAGGGGCAAAAAUCAGAUUAUGCAAGAAAGGAAAAAACCAUGGCUCCCAGGGGAGUCGGAGGCUAUGAGAAAUGCAGCCCCGGAGAGGAGCAGUGUGGAUCUGGCCGACGGAGGCCUGCUCUCUGCCAGGGCACCUGCAGGCCACACAAAUGGGGCUGGGAUCUUGCAAAGCUUGCAAAGUGACGCCGGAUCCUGGGCCACGGGGCAGGGUCUGGAAGGGGUCUGGAGGGACACAUUUCCCUGAUUCAGGUCUAGAGAACAACAAAUCCACAUGCAUUGCUGUCCAGAAGAAAUCAGGAGAUGAGUCUGGGUCAACGGGGCCUGGUUAUACUUAGCCAGGGGUCUGCAGGAGCCAGAGUGCUGCAAGUCCUCCGGGAAGCUCCUGCCGGGGACGUGGUCAGCUCUUUAGAAAGCAAGCUUUCCUCUGAGCAAGGGAAGGAAAACUGCUCACUGUUGGAAUGGGUCACCAGAGGGUGCCACGGGAGGGCGGAAGUCAGCAGGUCUGCAUGCCAGUCCUGGCCGUGCCCUUGACUGGGUAUGUGACUGUGGACAGACAGUUGGCCUCUCAAAGCCUUAGUUUCUUCAUCUGCAAAUUGGGGGCACUGGAUGGGAAUAUCUCUGAGGUCCCUUCCACAUGGUUAAACUGUCCCUGUUAGUAUUGGGCAACAGUGUUCUGCCAAGACACCACCAGCAAGAUGCUUCUGGACCAGCGGCUCAUGGCUGUCACUCAAACCACUUGGAAACUGCCCAGUUCAACAGAAAGCAGUGGAAGACUGGUGGGGCAGGGAGAGCGCUGACCCCAGUGAGCGGUUUUAACAACCAUUGGCGUAGAGUUGAUUCAACAGUAUUUGGCUCUUUGUAGAAACUGGGUUGGUUUUCUGUGGAGUAUUAACUGCAUUUCUCAAAACCAUAGCCUGUGGCCGAUUAGCCAGCAAACCCUGCAUAGGGUGAAGUCAGGCAAUGAGGACGUGAGCAGACCAGUAAGGGCAGAGCAGGUCACCCAUGCCGUGUAAUUUUAGGAACUUCUCAUUUAUAGGAGAGAAACAUUGCCAAAGUGUGGCCCACGUCAUCAUGGGGAGAAGCGUUAGCUUGAACUGCCACACAUGCCUGGGGCUGGAUAGAAAUAAGGCAGCAGGCUUGAAGGAAAGCAGGCAGUGGCGUAACAGUAAAUGUAGGAUUUUUCUUUGUCCUGCUAGCUAGGGCUUCUGUGUUGACAGCUGGGGGGAGGAUGGGGUGGGGCAGGAGCCAGGACCAUGGGACGCCCAGUAAAGAAGGAUCCCCCGGGCAGGGGAGUUCUCUACCUUCGGUGCUGGGGUUGGGUGGGGGAGCCCAUGGCAUGGGAGGCAGAAAUGCACUGGCUGACAGUAUAGUUCAUUUGUUUGAUGUUUGCUACUAGGAACCAAGCAUCACGCUGGACUGAAAAGGUUUUUGGCCUGGACAGGAGUUCCCCCACUGGGAACCACACACAUCAUCCGUGUCUCUCCUUCCAGGUCGGUCUGGUCAAUGGCACCAUCACCCACCCACCCUAGACCAGACUAGACACCUCAGGGUCAUUAUUGACUCCUUCCUCUCCGCUCAAUGACAGCCAGUUCUCCUCUGCUCUCAAACCUGUCUCCAUCUCCCCACCGUCAGCUCCCAGCUCCUGCUCUACCUGCAGGCUGGCAGGCUGUGCCCCAAGGCACUCCCUGCUGAGCAAUCCCCACAGGCUCCAACAGCCAGAGCCCCAAGCCCAGACUCUUUUGCAUGGCCUCAGGGCUCUUACGUGUCUGGCCUUAACCUAUUUUUGGCUUUAUCUUCUGCUACUUUCCUUCCUCCGUACCUGGGCUUUAAUCACCAUGAACAAAGUAGUUGCUUUUCUUGUAAACAUUGUAGAUACCCAUUAACUAUGGCAGCAAUAGUAGAGUGGUAAAGAGGGUGAACUCUGGGGUGAAGUACCGGUGUCCGAGUCCAAGCCCCUCUGUUUACGGCUGUGUGGAUUUGGAUAGGUUACCAAACUCUGGGCCUCUGAGAGGCUCUCUCCUGUCCCUUCCCAACCUGCUCACAUUGUUCUCUUUGCCGUUCCUUUUCCACUGAAUUCCUACUCACCCAUGAAGCCCCAUCUCCAGUGCGGCACCUGCUCUGACUCUGCUGGGCAGGUGAGCUUGUCCCUCUCGUGCACACCUGUGGCACUGCUCCCCUCACAGCAGCCCUCGGCCCGGGGGUGGGAGACUCCCCCGACUCCCCUCAGAACCCCGGGCCCAGCAAACCACCUGGCACCUGGCAGCCGCCCACAUGAGCAUGGGACUCCACGAACGGGGCUUUGUAGGGGGCUUUGGAAAUAGCGGCAUCUGCUCCCCUCACCCGUCUGUCUGCUGAGCUCCUGAGGCAACAACGAGUAUCCCCCUUCCCUGUUUUAUGGCCGUUUUUAUUUUUGGAGGGGCAGUCUGCAAAGUGCCAGCAGUCCCCGAGGGCAAUGGACUUUCCUCCAGGUCAUUAGGAAGAAGCCCCUGGAAAGGAUCUUCAUGCCAGACCAAUGCUUGGCUAUUCUCGUUCUUUCUUUCAACCCACACCCACUGUGCACUUGCUAUGAGGACGCCAGGCUCUCAGGCCAUAGUGGGGUCCACACCUGUCACUUCACCUGCCCUCAUGUCGCAGGCCAGUGACUAGAUGGGAAGGCCCAGCAAUCACCAGGGUGAUUUCCAUUAGAAAGAGAGGAGAAUGGGUCUAAUUUCAGGGAGGGGGGCUGGCAAACACAGCCUGGGGGCUCAGGAGAGGACUGGGAGGCCAUGUCUGAGCAAGGCUCGGUUGCUUGUAAAGAAUGGUACCCCGUUCCCACAUCAGAAGAGUCAGCUGAACCCCGGGCUGCAGUCCCAAUAGUGCACUGCUGAGCCUGGCGCUCACCUGCAGGGUAGAUGGCACCUCAGUGCCACACCUGAGCCUCUGAGCUCUCCAGGAGGGCAUAGGCAGGCAUGUAUCAGGCACCACUGCUCACCCUGCUCGUGAGUGACGUUUUUCUGAGCACCAGGCAAGCACUUCUCCCCGGCUCUGUCCAUGCUGCCAUUGCCUUGGUUUGACUGAAUCUUCAAGGACAGGCUUGUCAUGCUAAGGGCCAUUUUCCACUUUGAGGCAUUCUUUUCUUGGUUCUCUGGUUUUAAAGAGCACUUGAUAAAAUAAAUCAGAGCACUGCUUCCCCCUCUGUCUUCCCCAUCCCAUCUACCCUUAUAACAAGAGCAGAAUCUCAUGGGGCAUACCGAGGGGUGGAGCUGGAAAGGAACAUAAAAUCACCUUCCAAACCCAGCUCAGUAUCCAAGGGAAACCUUCCUUGGAGCUGUCUCUCCCCACUCCUCAGCAAACCAUUCUGUCCUCUGUACCAGCUCCAUGUCUUGCCCAUGUUUUUGUAAUUAUACUCAUCACUGCCUAUUUGUUUUAUUUGCUACCUUGUGUGUCCUCUUUUAGCCUCUUGAUAAAACCUUAUUCAUCUUGGUGUCUCCAAUGGAGUCCUACAUGUGGGAGGGAAGAAAGAAGGAAGAAAGGAAGGGAGGGAGGAAGGAAGGGAGGAGGGAAUCGAGUUCAACCCCUUUUAUAUUCUGGAGGGAGAAACUAAGGCCCAGAGAAAAGUGACUUUUCCACAGUCACACAACUAGCCAGGGGAAGCAUGGAGCUAGAACUCAAGAAUCCUAAUGCUCAGUUUAGUGUCCAUUUUACCAAUUGGGCUGCUGACCCACACGAAGCUGCUUGGCCCAGGAAGCAAGUUGUGCGGUGCCUGGGCUACAGUAGAUCUAGAGUCCCUGAGCUGCAGAUGGGCAGCUAGGAGGGGUGACCACAGCUUCAUCCUGACUUGUCUCACUCACCAUGGCCCCGAGCAGACCAAAUGCACAUCCCUCUUGAUAUGGUUUGGCUGUGUCCCCACCCAAAUCUCAUCUUGAAUUGUAGUUCCCAUAAUCCCCACAUGUCGUGGGUGGGACCUGGUGGGAGGUAAUUGAAUCAUGGGGGCGGGUCCCCCAUGCUGUUCUCAUGAGUGAGUUCUCAUGAGAUCUGAUGGUUUUGUAAGGGGCUUUCCCCCCUUUGCUUGGCACUUCUCUCUCUCCUGCCACCUUGUUUGCUUCCCCUUCCACCAUGAUUGUAAGUUUCCUGAGGCCUCACCAGCCAUGCUGAACCAUGAGUCAGUUAAACCUCUCUCCUUUAUAAAUAACCCAGUCUUGUGUAUUUCUUCAUAGCAGCAUGAGAAUGGACUAAUACACCCCUCAGCCAUGGCCCUGUCCCCCAGCAGAUCCUGACAGCCAAGAGGGGUAGAGGUGCCCCGAAAGCCGUGGGGAGUCCCAUGCCAUUCAGCAUCUCAAGAAGCGGUGCAGCAGAGAAACCAGCUACGAGGUCCCUCACCUGUUUUUCCUCAAAUGGCAAGCCCAGGAAGGGGGCAGAGGCCACGUUCAGUGGGGUGAUGCUGUCCGAGGUGAAGGGCUUUCUAGCUCUGGCAAAGAGGGUGUUUAUUAAGGAGAAUCGACUCACAGGAUCACAAGGUAAAGUCCCACAAUAGGUCGUCUGCAAGUUGAGGAGCAAGGAAGCCAGUGGUGGAUCAGUCCGAGUCCCGAAACCUCAAAAGUAGGGAAGCCGACAUUGCAGACUUCAGGCUGUGUCCAAAGGCCCAAAAGCCCCUGGCAAACUACUGGUGUAAGUCCAAGUGUCCAAAAGCUGAAGAACUUGGAGUCUCAUGUUCGAGGGCAGGAAGCAUCCAGCAUGGAAGAAAGAUGAAGGCCAGAAGACUCAGCAAGUCAAGUCCUUCCAUGUUCUUCUGCCUGUUUUAUUCUAGCCAUGUUGGCUGCUGAUUAGACGGUGCCCACCCACAUUGAGGGUGGGUCUGCCUGCCCCAGUCCACUGACUCAAAUGUUAAUCUCCUUUGGCAACACCCUCACAGACGCACCCAGGAAAAAUACUUCACAUCCUUCAAUCCAAUCAAGUUGACACUCAGUGUUAACCAUCACAGCAUCAUAUACCGUAAGGGUAAGUUUAGUUUUCUGAAUGUUUCGUGUGAGCAUUUCUUAUGCUUCCAUGCAUAUCAUGAGUCACCAUCAGAAAAGUCUCAAAGUCAGCACUAUGGACAGAGAAAGUCAUUAAAGAGACCAGGCAUGCCCAUCAGUCUAAUCAUAAUAGUUAUGCAUAAUAGCUAAGCACUGAGUAUGUGGCACAAAUUGUGCUAUUUUUCUAAAUAGUAACCUCUAAUUCUUACAGGUAUUGGUAUUCUCAUGUAGCAUAUGAAAAAACUGAGGCUCAGUGAGAUUAAGUGAUUUGCCUAAUGUCUUAGUUCAAGCUGCUGUAACAAAAUGCCACAGUCUGGGUGGCUUAAACACCAGAAAUUAAUUGUCUCACAGUUCUGCAGGCUGGGAAGUCCAAGAUCAAGGUGAUCUGUUCUGGGUGGGGCUCUCUUCCUGGCUGGCCAAUGGCCGCCUUCUUGCGGUGUUCUCACCUGGUGCUUGUCUAUGGAGAAAAAGAGAGCUCUCCCUCUCUUCCUGUUCUUAGAAGACCAUCAAUCCUAGCAGAACAGAGCCAUGCCCCUAUGGACUCAUUUAGCCUUACUUACCUCCCUGUCUCCAAAUACAGGCACAUUGCUGGUUAGGGCUUCAACAUAUAACUUUUGGGGGACACAAUUCAAUCUGUAGCACCCAAUGUCCCAGGGCAAAUAAAUAAUGGAGUCUGAAUUUGAAUCCAAACUUGAGUCUGAGCCUUCCCAGCAUGCUGUGCUGCCUCGUUAAUUCAUGAAUGCCCCGAGGACACUAGGAAAGUGUGCAAUUUAGAGCUGGGGCUGCAAAGCGUGGUGACCAAGCACACAGGCCUGGGGCCAGGCAGCACUGGGCUACAGCUCCGGGACAAGGCACAGUGCUUCCCAUUCCUAAAGCAGGGCUCUAAGAGAGCCAUUCACAGCUUCAGGCAGGGCUGGGAGGAUUAAUGGGAUGAUGCACCUGCAAGGACAAGCACAGAGGCCCACCAUAGUGAGUUCCAGGAACGCUGGGAACUUUGUUUACUGAUAGACCCUAUGGGCCUAGACCCAUGCCUGGCACUUACUAGGUGCUUCAUACAAAUUGUGGACUGAGUUUUUAAUUGUCAUUUUCAUCACUGACCUGGUAUUAGAAUACCUGGGUGCCAGUGUUAGCUUUAGCAACACUAUCAGACCUUGGGUGAGAUUCAGAACCGGGUGGCCUGUUCCCUGUCUGUAAAGUGAGGAUAAUAAUGACAGUGACCAUCCAACAGCUCCUGUCAAAUGCUGGGCUCAGAACUGCAUUGGGGCCAACCCAGGUUUCCCCUCUCUGUGCUGGGUUUCGAUAAAGAGUGCAGGGUGAUAGACUAGAGAGGACCUCGUUCUGGGGGAGAAAGGAAGCUUGUGUUUCCCCUGUGCUGUGCCUCAUACCUCGGCAGGCUCAGGCAGGAGGACCGCGAUUGGACGCUGGGGGUGUCUGUGUGGGAGGGAACCUUCUCUUGUUGGAAGGGAUCCUCACUGGCCAACGCCCCCUCCUGGGGAAUUCUGGUGAGUUCCUAGGGACUUGGUGCUCUGUCCCUAGGGACUGGGCCUGCAGGCUGCCCAGUGUCUACCCCGGAGGAGAUUGCAGCAGGUCUUGGGGACCGGACGCCAGGAACCCCUGUGUUGGAGACUGAGGUCUGAACCUUCAAAAUCCAACCAUCCCCCACCAGGGAAAGAAGUCUGAGCUGAGCUGGUCCCUGGGAAGCUGGUCCACGGCCAGCCAGGCCCUCGGCAGGGGUAUUUUUAACUGGAAGCAGGGAGCGCUGCAUGAAGGAAGCUCCCCUUGCUGGCAACUGCACCAGUAACACACUUGCUGCGCAGCUGUGUGCACUGCCACCCACAGGCCCUUCUCCUUCCCUCCCCAAAAGGAUGCACACACCCAACAGGCCCUGGGUCCUCCCCAACCGUGGUCACCAUGUCUGCUGCCCACUCCCACCUACGGGACCUUGGCACAGGCAGGAGCGCAGGGUCCGAGGCCUUCCACAAAUAUUUGGGCAGAGCACCUCAAGACAGCCCUAGGGACUAAAGAGCCGAUGACCCUCUGGCCCCAUCUGCUACUGCCCAGCCCUCUCCUGGUGCCCGGCCGGUGGUGUCUACACGGAGUCCACCUCCUCUACCCUCCCGUCUCUGCACUUUCCUGAAAGUGCUUUCCCCACAGCUGCCCCUCUGUUGCUAAGCCCAGUGGCCUCUCACCGCUGACCUUCUCAGGCCCCUGGCUUCCCUCCCACCUCGCUGACUGUUCCGCCUCAGGCUCCCCUGAUCAAACUGUAAGCACUGAUCAGCUUGUCUGGGGCUCUCUUGGUUUUAGACUAAAAGUCUCACAUCCUGGGAACUCCCUCAGUUCAGGGCAAACUGGGACUGUGGGUCACCCCAGACUCACCCUGACCUUGGGGACACCCCAGAUCACCCUGACCUUGGGGACACCCUAGACUCACCCUGACCUGUGGGGACGCCCAUGUCUCCUUCUUGCCUCUCGUUUCCUCUUGAUCUCCAUGCUCUCCCUAAGGGAUCUCCUGUAUUUCUGUGGCUGCAGCUGCCAUUGGGGUGGGGAUGAUCCCCAAGUCUGGGGUGCCAGCCUAACUUUCUCCUGAGAUCCAGACCUGUAAGCUAACUGCCUACAGGGCAUCUCUGCUCAGAGGUCUCCUGGCACCUCGAAAAGUCACCAUGUCUACAUCUGACCUCACCAUCUGACCCCAAACUUCUCUCUCCAGUCUCUGGUUUCAAUGAAGAGCUCUACCAUCCAUCAGGAGAUUCAUAUCCCAGGCACCUCUUCCAGCCAAAGGAAUCUCUUCUUGUCAAUUUCACCUCCUAAGUCCCUUGACUCCAAGUAUUUCUGUCCCCGCUGUCAUCCCCACAGUGCAGGUCAUGACCAUCUCUCACUUUGAUCGGUGCGAAGUCUAGAGGAAGUGUCAACAGUGGCCAUUCCUGGGAUGGCCAGUGGUAUGGGUUGGACUGUGUCCCCCCAAAUAUAUGUUGAAAUCCUAACCACCGGAACUGUGAACAUGGCCUUAUUUGGAAAUAAGAUCUUUGCAGAUGUAGUCAAGUUACAAUGAGGUCAGAAGGGUGGGCCCUAAUCCAACAUGACUGGCGUCCUUGGAAGAGGAAGACGUCACGCGAAGACAGAGACACACAGGAGAGCAGCAUGUGACAGCAGAGGCCUUAGAGAUUGGAGGGAGGCAGCUGCAAGUCAAGGAGUGCUGAGAAUUGCCAGCCACUCUCAGAAGCUGGAAGAGGUGAUAAAGGGUCCCUCCCCUAGAAGCUCCAGAGGAAGCACAGCCCUGCUGAUGCCCUGAUUUUGGACUUGUAGCCUCCAGAACUGUGAGAGAGUGAAUUUCUGUUGCUUAAAGCUAUCCAGUCUAUGGCACUUUGCUACAGCAGCCCUGGGAAGCUAACAUAGGGAGAUAAGGACAAUUUUCAUUUUCUUAGCAUACUUUUCAGUAUUUUAGAGGUGAUCUGUAGUGGAUACACAAGACUUUUAUGAUUAGGAAAAACAUAGUCAUUCUUAAAAAGAAGUGCUCAUCAGUAGGAAUCCUAAGCGUCCUAUUGGAUUUGUCCCUGAGAAUUGAAGCCAUCUAUGCCACACAGUUUACUGUCCUCAUCAACACAGCUUUUUUAUUCCACAGGAGACUCUUGCCCAGGAAGAUAAAAGCUGAACAUAAUUUUAUUGUUCAUUUCGGGGACUUUGCAAAUAACAUUUACACAAACAGCAGAUUGUACAACUUUUUAAUAGCAUCUAAUGACUGUCUUUUCACCAAGACUCUUCAAAAACUCUUGCCUUGCCAUGUCUUCCCAUCCCAAACUCCUAGGUCAUGGCUCUUCCCAAUCUUAAUCAAGUCCCUGCAGGAAAGAUGCUCAAAACUCAGACAUAUCCCAUUUGCAUUUGGUUUUCUGAGAUGAUUCUAAGACUCUGUAAAGGGUCUUCUCCCUUACCAUGGUAGCAGGAAACCUGGCUGCCUUAUCUGAGGGUUGAUUUGGUGGUAUUUUCAGGCAUUUGACAUCUGAUAUUCAAAAUAUUGCAUUUAUGGAAUGCAACCCCAAUCAUCCCUGAAUUGUAGCCAGGGAAACAGGCUCCUCGAACUUCAGUUGCUCAAGGCCACACCAUUAGUAGCUGGCAGAGCCUAGGUCCAGCUGCCUGCAAAGCCUGCACUCUUACCCUUCUCCUACUUUCCCAAAUUUAGUGAGACUGUAAUACAAAAUACUUAUAUUCUGGUGUCUGGCUAUUUUUGGGUGGUAUUCGGCUCCCAAUUGUCCAGAUAAUGGCCCCAAGCGGACAGGCUAUGGUCCUCAGGAAGACAUCACCCAGGCAGGUUUCCUGCGGGGAGUCACCAUAGAGACCAUUUCCAUCACAGGCAGCAGCAGCCUGAGCUUCCGGGACUUCUGUUUCCCUGCCCUGGGCCUGGAGAAUGUUAACCAUGAAAGGCAAAUGGGCUUCGGUUGGAAACAAGCCAUUAUUAGCCACUAUUUCAGGCAGUCACAUUUCCCACAAGGCACUUGUGCAACAAGUUAGCAGGGAAGAAAGAAGCCGAGCCUUUGUACGGCGGGGCCAGAACACAAAGCUCAUUGUGAUGUUUGUGCUUCUAUUCAGACGCCACGUGGUACGGACUCCACGCCAACCUGCAGACUGGAUUCUUUUCUUCCCCCUCAGUAACAAACAUACACAUUUGCUUUAAAGUAGGCAGAAUUUGCCCAUGGGUGGUCUUUGAUUUGGAAGAAAUCAACUUCAAAGUGGUGACUCACAAAAAACAAAGGUGGCUUGACUCAUUCAGUGCUCGGGAAAGGGGAUGUGUGUGCAGAAUUCACUCAUCCAGAAGCAGAAGUUGAAGACAAGGAGUAAAUACUUCAGGUAGACAAUCAGCCAGUCAUCCUGCUUGGUCUUGUAAUGGGCCAUGGCUGCUGAGUCUAGAGAAGGCACACAGGCUGGGCUGGGGAAUUACCGAGAGCCACCUCACCCCUCCAGGAGCCAGGGCGCCUCAGCCAGGUUCCCUUUGAAGGGCUUAUUUGCCUGUCUUGCCAGGGAUCUUUGAGGCUGUGGGUGUGCAGCAUAGAGUAAAGAUCAGGGAAUCGCAAAGGCUACUGGAUGCCUUAGUGGAGGUGAAUUUGGGCAGAAUUUUCCAGACCUUCAGGUGCCGGUUUUGUUCUCUUGACAAAGGUCUAACCCACAAAUCUUCCACAGAUUUCCCUGGCCUUGUUGUGUUCUUAUUCUCUUUCCCUGUCUCAUCAGGGUUGCAGGACACAAGUUUAUCUGUCAUAGACACACACUCUUUCUCUCUCUCUCUCUCUCUCUCUCACACACACACACACGUUCAGCAUGGCUGCUUUGCAGUGGAAACCUGUACUGCACAUCCACAGGUGUGGCAGGAGUCCCAUAUCAGAGCAUCUGUGCCGGAAAGACCUCAAUGAUGACCCAUUCUACCUUACCUGGCCUCUACACCCCUUGACUUCCCAGAUGAGGAAGCAGGUCCAGACAGGCCCAGACUGUUUGGCAGAAGAAGUCUAAGAGCCUCUGGAGUCUUAACUCCUUGGGUUCAAACCCUGAUCUGUCACAAGGUGUGUGACACUUUGGGCAAGUGACAUGACUUCCCAUCUCUCAGUGUUCUCAUCUGUAAAUGGGGAUAAUGAUACCUACAUCACAGGGUUGUUUUGAAGAUUGAAUGGGAUAAUCUAUGUGACGUGUUUAGCAUAGUCCUUGGCACAUAGUAAGUAUUUAAUGUUAGCUUUUAUUAUUACAUGCCAUAGAGCUGGUACUAGAACCUACGACCCCAAUCCUAAAACUCCACUCUUUGCCCCAGCACCAUGCUCUGUCUCUUGUCCGGACACCCGUCAAUGGACUUUCUAGGGAAAGUCAACAUUGGUGAUAAAGGCAGAGAAGGCCCACUGUACUCAGUAAUCGCAUUUGCUUCUUAGUCAGUCUGAACCUCAGUAAGUCUGAAGCCUCUAUGGUUUCCUCUUCACCUGGACCUACUUGUACCCCUGGGCACCUGCACACUCACAGAGUAGUUGCUCUUUAAGAAAUUGUCCCCAUUUUGGGAAGCUCUUUUAUUUCAGAACCAUACGCAAUGAGGCAUUGGUUUUGCCCAUGACCUUCUCUUCCUCUAUCAUUCCCAACCCCCCAUCAGGCCCUCCUCCCCGCUUGCUCUUGCCUCUUUGGCUGGUGCUGGGCCAAAGCCCAAAUUACUUCCCUGAGCCACUGCUCUGCCUUUUAUUUCAAGCUUAUGGGCUCAUGGAGACAGGGAGAGAAGAGGAGAGAAAAGAAAAGGUGGCUGUCUUAUUUGGGAUUUCUAUUUGCAGACCUUGAAGAAGGUAAUUUAAGACUGUUAGUCUUCUCAUUAAAAAAAGACAAAACCCAUUUUUCUUCAAUUUAGUUUGAGAGAUAGGGUGGUGGAAGAGAUAUAGGAGAAAAAAAGGAAGCCUGUCAAGAAUGGCGAUGGAUGGGGGUGGCCAGGCAAUCGAGCAGAAGGUGUUUGGAGGUCAUUCUGCAGUCGGCCCUGACAAGAGACUGGGUGCAGCGUCCUCUGGGUGCCAUGGGUUUUUAGUAAGCUGAGGGAUUUGUGGGGGCCUGGGCGCUACUGUCUGCAGUUUCCCUCCCUCUGCACGUCCCUCCCCUCCCAGCCAGGGCCCACUAGACUCCUAACACAGAACCUUCUCUCGAUCUGCAGCAGAGGGGCACGAUUCACUCACUCAAACCAAGGGGUCAGGGCCCCUGAAAGGAAAAUUGUAUUUUUUAAAAAGGACUUCAGGCAGAAGAUAGGACUUAACAAAGAAAAACGUAAUUCUAAUGGUAAAAUUUUAGCCAUUAUUGGUAGAGAAGAUAGAACCACAGAAUGUCAGGGUUAAGGGGAAACCUUGGGGCUCACUUAAUUCAAUCUUUUGCAGACAGAAUGAGGAAAUUUACCCAUCGGAGCUAAAACGCACAUCUUAAAAUGACUUCUCUAGAAGUCUGUAAUCGAUGGUUGCAGUUUUCUAUCCCCCACUAUUCAAGGCUCCAUCUCCUGUAAUAUCCCACCACACUUGGGUCCCUGUGCUGGGAGUGGCAAAGGCCCCAAAGAAACUUGGAGCCGGAUGCCUGGAUCUCAAAGCUAGCCUUGCCAUUUUACUGGCUGUGUGACCUUGGGCAAGUUACUUAACCUCUCUGUGCAGGUCACAUUUAUGGAACACUUUCGCGUGCCAGAUGCAGACCUAAGUGCUUUACGUGCAUUAUUCUGGUGCCUCUUUCCAAUACCCCUAUGAAGUAGGGCUAGUCCCAUUUUGCAAUAUAACCGAGGUUCACACAGGUUAAAUAACUUGUCCAAAGUCACACAGCAAGUAAAUGGCAAAGCCAGAGUUGAAUGAGGAAUCCCUGGCUCUGGCCUCAAGCUCUUACCCACUGUGCAGUACUCUCAGGACCAGGGAACCCAGGGCAAGGCAGGAAGGGGUGGGGGGCAGAGACUGAUGGUUUCCCUCAUACCCACUGUGCAGUACUCUCAGGACCAGAGAACCCAGGGCAAGGCAGGAAGGGGUGGGGGGCAGAGACUGAUGGUUUCCCUAAUAUUUGUUCUCCCCUUUUUCAUUGGGAAUAGAGCAUCUCCAUUUUAAUUGGGUACUUGGUCACCUGGAGCAAAAGACAUUUCCCAGCCUCUCUUCCGGCUAGGCAUAGCCAGGAUUCCCUGUUUGCCGGAGAGCGGUAUGUAAGCAGAAAUGGUAUAUGCGGCUUUUUAGAAGGAUCGUUUUUUGGUAUCUGUUUCAUGUUCAUUUACAAAGAAUGUACAUCCUGUCAUUGUAGAGUACAGAAUUCUGUAUGUGUCGAUUAGGUCAAAUUUGUUAAUUGCGCUUUUCACAUCUUCUGUAUCCUUACUGAUCUGGUGUCUGAUUGGUCUAUUGGCUAUUGAAAGAUGCCUGUUACAGGCUCUCCCUACAAGUGUGAAUUUGUCUAUACCUUAUUUAAGUCUCUUAAAUUUUGCUUCGUAUGUUUUGCAGAUAUUUUAUGGAGUACAAACAGAUUUGGAGUUAAGAUAUUAUUCUGGCGGAUUAAUCCCUUUAUCGCUAAUAAUGUCAUUAUCUGUCUUUUAACAGUUAGAAGUAUAUAUAUAUAUAUUUUUUCUGAGACAGAGUUUCAUUUCGCUCUUGUUGCCCAGGCUGGAGUGCAAUGGCGCAAUCUUGGCUCACCGCAAUCUCUGCCUCCCAGGUUCAAUCGAUUCUCUUGUCUCAGCUUCCCGAGUAGCUGGGAUUACAGGCAUGCACCAACACACCCGGCUAAUUUUUUGUAUUUUUAGUAGAAACGGGGUUUCUCUAUGUUGGUCAGGCUGGUCUCAAAGUCCUAACCUCAGGUGAUCCACCCGCCUCGGCCUCCCAAAGUGCUGGGAUUACAGGCAUGAGCCACCGCACCCAGCCAGAAGUAUCUUUAGAGUGGUGGGGGCAUGUCUCUCUUCACCCUUUCCUUCUUCCUGUUGGUUGGAAUGCUGAUGUUGUGGCUGGAGCUGAAGCAGCUCUAUUGAACCGUGAGCUGAAAACUAUGGGUUGAAAAGGAGUAACAAUUAGUUCAAAGAUUCUGGGUCUCAGAUGGUUUCAGAGCUGCCGUUCAUCCCUGAGCUGCUUACCUCCAGACUUAGUUUACAUUAGAGAACAACAAACUUGUAGCUUCUUUAAGCUACAUGUUUGUGCCAGGGGCACUGCAGUGGGGGCAAUAAGACCAGAGGCCCAUGGCAGGCAGUGGUCGCCGAGCUCUUCUGACUGUACACCCCCUCAAAUUUCUUAUUUAUAAUUUUUAUUCAUGUACUAUUGUCCAUUUAUAUAGCAGGUAUUCAUCAAAACUUCAUUUUGCAGUUUUGAAAGUUAAAAAAUAAUGAGGGAUAGGGAUUUCAGUAAGUUUUCCCUGUAUCCCAGUAUAUUGUCUGUUGCCACCUUGGAGACCACUGGUGCAGAGUGUGCAUGGAGUGGGUGAGAGCUGAAGGUUAGGUGGGGUCAGGUCAAGAGUGACCUUACAUGUGAAGCUCGGGGACUUGAAUUAAUGUCCUGAAAGUGAUGCUGACCCCAGGAAGGUGGUGCUUAAGUUCGAGAAAGAGAUGGUGGAGGAAUGGAGAUAGGGGACAGACACCUGACUGGCGCAGAGGGAGGCCCCAUCAGGCAGGCAGUGUGCUCCAGGAAGAGGCAGGAGAGGAAAGACCCCAGGAGUGGGCAGAGGAAGAAGCAGCCAGGUGGGAAGUUGAAACAGAGGCGGGGGUAGAAGGAGAACCAGGGGAGUGGGGGUCCAGGUAGCCAAGGAGGACAGGGUGGGCUGCAGUACUGCAUGCUUGCUAAGAGGUCCAAGCAAGGGCUCACCUUUGUCCAUGAAGGAUACAUGGGGAUCAUAGGGAUGCACCAUGAAGGGAGGGGAAACGGAGACCUGGAGGUGAAUAUUUUCAAAUGAGAAGGCUGGGAGGGAAGCAGCUAGAAGGUCAGGGAAAGGAAGUGCUUUUGUGUGAUGAGGGAGGGCGGCUCGGGCAUGCCUAGUGCACUGGGAAAGGCUCCAAAGCCUGCUUAACUCUGCUGCCUCCGGGGAAGGGGACAGGGCUGAAGGAAGGUGAGUGGAAGAGCUCCAGCCACCACUUCCAGCCCUCCUCCUGACUGUCCCAGUGGAUUCCCCUCUCUGGGACCUCAUUGUACCCCAAUUUCCUUUUCCCUGGAGAGUGAUAUAUCAGGGGAGGUAGGUGGGGGAACAUGGCAAUGGCUGCAGCUGCCCCUGGAGAGGAGAAAAGCAAACAUAAGCCACUUGAUGUGAGCUUAUCUGCCAGCGAAUGGAGGGGCCAGGGCUUUGGAUAAUCCCCCAAAUCAUUUUUCAUUGAGCUUUGAGUGUCUUAUGAUUGCUGGGAAGCCGACUGGCCUUCCUAAGUGGGUGUUAUUUCUGUUCAUAGCAGUUGGGAGCUGGGCUUGGGAACCAAUUGAAGGAAGUGUUCCUGAGGGGCACCAGCUAGACAGCAGGGGGCAGGCAAGGCAGAGACUCCCACUACGGGUGUAACCAAUGCUGGAUGCAGAAUCACGGACAAGCCUCUGAAGACAAAGGAGAGGGACCGUACCUCCCAGAUCCCUGGCCUCGCGACGCUGAUCUCUUCCUUGGCCUCUAAAAGGCACAUCUGUGUCCUCCCUUUGGCCCUUUGUUCAGGCUGUGGCCUGAAUCUGAAACCCCUGCUACUCUGUCCCAAUGCUCCAGGGCUCAGGGGGACUCUACCCCUCCCUGAAGGUGGCUAUUUCCACCUUCCCAGACCCCCAGGGCAAAGCCCAGCAUCCACGGACUGCAGCAGUUGGCCUGGGUGCUUCUCAGCAUCUUAUUUAACAGACUGACUGAUUUGGUUACCUUCCCGAGCUUGUGGACUGAGAUGGGGACAGCGGUGCCACACAGUGGGGUCCAGACCCUCUUUCUGGCUCUGCCCUUUACUUGCUGCCUGUGCUUGGCGAGGCAAGCUACUUCCCUCCCUGAGUGUUUGGUUUCCCACCUGCAGGGAAAAGCAGCGGCUCUCCUGCUUAGGUCUUAGAAUUACCUGGGGGACUCGUUAAAGUGAAGAUCUCAGGGCCCACCCCCAGAGUUUCUGAUUCAUUAGGUUUAGUGUGAGACCCUGAAGGAUUUGCUCCCAGGCAGGGUGACUGAUAAUCCCCAUUUGCCCGGGACAGAGGGAUUUCUUGGGAUACAGGAGUGCUGUUCAGGGUUAAACCUGGGCAAUCCUGGGAAACCAGGAUGGCUAGUCACUGCUCCCAGGUGCUGCUGGUCUUGGGACCACACUUUGCAUCAAUGUUCUCUAAGGUCCCUUCCAACUCUGAAAGUCCCUGUGCCUGCAGUAUAAGUACCCUUCACCUCUGAAACAGGCAUAACUGGGUGGGACAUGAGGGUGGGCCCGUCCUCUCAUGCAAAUUCACAUUUAGGACACAGUUCCUGUUGAAAUGAUAAAGAUCUCCCAGAUUGCCCGGCAAUGAGCCUCAAGGUGCCUUCCCCCCAGGAAGAGGUUCUGACUGUAGCACAAAGGUGGGAUUCAGGGGCAGCCAGCAGGUGCGGGGGCGGUGAAUGUCAUUGUCAGGAUCCAUGCCAUAGGACAUCUCAGAAAGGCAACCACAGAUGCCUUGAAGGUGAACUGAUGCAUUUUGGGGACUUUCAUCAGGGCUGGAUGUGUAAUGGCAUGGCUGUGAGACUUGAGGAUCAUUGUCCUCCUACUGCAUCCCCCCGCUCUCCCAAGCAGAUGAGGCUCAAAGCACAGAGAUGCAGGAUGUGUAGGAAGAGCCCAGCUGGCUGGCCAGAUGUGCUGGGAGUCCUGGUGAGCAGGGCAGGCUCCAGCCGGGGCCAGUGCCCAGGAGCACAGGGUACCACAGGUGUUGGCUGGUGGGCAAGACCAAGUCCUUUAAUAGUGAUGGGGAGCAAGGGGUGGGAGCUGGCUGUAUAGAUCAUACAUAAACACAUGGCGUUUUGAGGCCCUGGGUGAGCUGCAUCCUUCACUCCCUCAACAAACAUGUAUUGAGUGCCUGCUAUGUGCUAUGUGCUGGUACUUGGAACAACUGGACUUGCUCCUUCAGGAGGUCACAGCAGUCGUGAGGGUGGGGCACAUGCAUGCAAACAACUUCCAGACACUGGAGAGCACUUUCAGAGAUGCUGGCCCGUCCUGAUGGGAGCGCAGAGGGACAGGCAUUGAUUCUGCCAGACGAGGGUGGUGGGGGUGGAUGGCAAAAGAAAGGGGCAUUUAAUUUGGUCCUUAAAAACAGGCAGGGUUUCUGCGGGCAGAAAAGGAGGGAGGGCUGCCCAGGGAGAGGGGACAGUGUGAGCAAAGGCCUGGCGGCAUGGCUGGGCAGGGUGGGCCGGCGGGGGCAGGAAGGGCUGGGAAGCCAUGUCUGGGCCUGGAACAAACUUGGCCUCACUAAGUUGUGACUUUCCGCUUUCCCCCACAUUCUCUACUCCUGGGAUCUCACCAACCUCUUAUUCUUUGUCUGCUCCCAUUAGCAAAAGCUGAGGUUGGGAGGGACCUGACUCUCCGUUCCCUAAGGGAAGAGCACCCCAUACCAGGGGAGGGCUUUUGGGGCGCCUGAUGUUUCUGAAAACAAACAAGCAAACAAACAAAACUGGCAUAUUUCACUUAACAUAACGUCCUCCAGGUUCAUCCACAUGUCACAGACAACAAGAUUCCCUUCUUUUAUAAGGCUAAAUAGCAUUCCAUUGUAUAUAUAUGCCACAUUUUCUUUACCCGUUCAUCCCCUGAUGGCCGCUUAAGUUGAUUCUGUAUCUUGGCUAUUGUGAACAGUAAUGAAAUGAACAUGGAAUGCAGAUAGCUCUUCAACAUACUAAUUUCAUUUCCUUUGGAUAAAUACACAGUAGCAUCUUAUGUUAAGUGAAAUAAGCCAGGCACAGAAAGACAAAUACCACAUGAUCUCACUCAUACGUGGAAUCUAAAAAGUUGAUCCCAUAGAAAUAGAGUGUAGAAUGGUGGUGGGGGGAAGUGGGGAGGGGAAGAGAUGUUGGUUAAAGGGUAUAAAAUUUCAGUUGGACAGGAGGAAUAAGCUCAAGAGAUCUAUUGCAUGUCGGGACUCUGUAUGGUUAAUAACAUUGUAUUUUUUUUUUUAUACUUUAAGUUCUAGGGUACAUGUGCACAACGUGCAGGUUUGUUACAUACGUAUACAUGUGCCAUGUUGGUGUGCUGCACCCACCAACUAGUCAUCUACAUUAUGUAUAUCUCCUAAUGCUAUCCCUUCCCAUGACAGGCCCCGGUGUGUGAAGCUCCCCACCCUGUGUCCAAGUGUUCUCAUUGUUCA